CUUUCUUUGCUGGCGACCGGCGCACGGGUGAGUAACACGUAUCCAACCUGCCCUUUACUCGGGGAUAGCCUUUCGAAAGAAAGAUUAAUACCCGAUAGUAUAAUGAUUCCGCAUGGUUUCAUUAUUAAAGGAUCCGGUAAAGGAUGGGGAUGCGUUCCAUUAGGUUGUUGGUGAGGUAACGGCUCACCAAGCCUUCGAUGGAUAGGGGUUCUGAGAGGAAGGUCCCCCACAUUGGAACUGAGACACGGUCCAA
rnacentral:rRNA from 1 species